UACGAAGGGGGCUAGCGUUGCUCGGAAUCACUGGGCGUAAAGGGUGCGUAGGCGGGUCUUUAAGUCAGGGGUGAAAUCCUGGAGCUCAACUCCAGAACUGCCUUUGAUACUGAAGAUCUUGAGUUCGGGAGAGGUGAGUGGAACUGCGAGUGUAGAGGUGAAAUUCGUAGAUAUUCGCAAGAACACCAGUGGCGAAGGCGGCCCACUGGCCCGAUACUGACGCUGAGGUGCGAAAGCGUGGGGAGCAAACAGG
rnacentral:rRNA from 1 species